GACGGCGAUAUUACUUUGAAACAGCGAUUCUCGUACGAUCACCGAAGUUAAGCAACGUUGAGCCUGCUCAGUAACUAAAUGGGUGACCGUUUGGGAAUACCGGC